UACGGAGGGUGCGAGCGUUGUCCGGAAUCACUGGGCGUAAAGGGCGCGUAGGCGGCCGUGUAAGUCACUUGUGAAAUCCCGGGGCUCAACUCCGGGGCUGCAGGUGAGACUGCGUGGCUAGAGCACGGUAGAGGCGAGUGGAAUUCCUGGUGUAGCGGUGAAAUGCGUAGAGAUCAGGAAGAACACCGGUGGCGAAAGCGGAUCUCUGGGCCGUAACUGACGCUGAGGAGCGAAAGCAUGGGUAGCGAACAGG
rnacentral:rRNA from 1 species